AAUCAACGCUGGCGGCGUGCCUCAGACAUGCAAGUCGAACGCGAAAGUUUCCUUCGGGAAACAAGUAGAGUGGCGCACGGGUGAGUAACACGUAGGUAAUCUACCUUCGGAUGGGGAAUAACAAUCGGAAACGGUUGCUAAUACCGCAUAAUGCAGCGGCACCUAAUGGUGACAGUUGUUAAAGCGGGGGAGUCGAAAGACCUCGCGUCUGAAGAGGAGCCUGCGGCGGAUUAGCUAGUUGGUAAGGUAAUGGCUUACCAAGGCUACGAUCCGUAACCGGCCUGAGAGGGCGGUCGGUCACACUGACACUGACAUACGGGUCAGACUCCUACGGGAGGCAGCAGUCGGG
rnacentral:rRNA from 1 species